rnacentral:rRNA from 1 species
GCCCAGACUCCUACGGGAGGCAGCAGUGGGGGAUAUCGCACAAUGGGGGAAACCCUGAUGCAGCGACGCCGCGUGGGUGAAGAAGUAUUUCGGUAUGUAAAGCCCUAUCAGCAGGGAAGAAAGAAGACGGUACCUGACUAAGAAGCCCCGGCUAACUACGUGCCAGCAGCCGCGGUAAUACGUAGGGGGCGAGCGUUAUCCGGAUUCACUGGGUGUAAAGGGAGCGUAGACGGCCGUGCAAGCCAGGAGUGAAAGCCCGGGGCCCAACCCCGGGACUGCUCUUGGAACUGUGCGGCUGGAGUGCGGGAGGGGCAGGCGGAAUUCCUGGUGUAGCGGUGAAAUGCGUAGAUAUCAGGAGGAACACCGGCGGCGAGGGCGGCCUGCUGGACCGCGACUGACGUUGAGGCUCGAAAGCGUGGGGAGCGAGCAGGAUUAGAUACCCUUGUAC